CGGACAACCCUGAGCGGGUGAGACGUGUCCCAAAGUGUCCCCAAAAUGUCCCCAAAGUGUCCCCAAUGUGUCCCCAAUGUGUCCCCAGUGUGUCUUCAGUGUGUCUUCAGUGUGUCCCCAAUGUGUCCCCAAAAUGUCCCCAAAGUGUCCCCAAAAUGUCCCCAACAUGUCCCCAGAGUGUCUUCAAUGUGUCCCCAAUGUGUCCCCAAAAUGUCCCCAAAGUGUCCCCAAAGUGUCCCCAAGGUGUCUCCAAUGUGUCCCCAAAAUGUCCCCACCGUGUCCCCAAAAUGUCCCCAAUGUGUCCCCAAAGUGUCCCCAAGGUGUCUCCAAUGUGUCCCCAAAAUGUCCCCAAUAUGUCCCCACUGUGUCCCCAACGUGUCCCCAAUGUGUCCCCAAAAUGUCCCCAAAGUGUCCCCAAAAUGUCCCCAAUGUGUUCCUAGUGUGUCUCCAAUGUGUCCCCAAAGUGUCCCCAGUGUGUCCCCACUGUGUCCCCAUGUCCCCAUCCGUGUCCCCACGUCCCCACGUCUGUCGCUUUGUCCCGACGUCUGUCCCUUUGUCCCCAUGUCCCCAUCCCUGUCCCAAUGUCCCCAUCCCUGUCCCCACGUCUGUCCCUUUGUCCCCACGUCCCCAGCGCCGGGAGGUGGCAGCACUGAAGCA
rnacentral:lncRNA from 1 species